rnacentral:rRNA from 1 species
UACGAACGCUGGCGGCAUGCCUAACACAUGCAAGUCGAACGAUGCCUUCGGGCAUAGUGGCGCACGGGUGCGUAACGCGUGGGAAUCUGCCCUUGGCUUCGGAAUAACAGUUAGAAAUGACUGCUAAUACCGGAUGAUGUCCCCCUGAGAGAUCUUGGGGACCAAAGAUUUAUCGGCCAGGGAUGAGCCCGCGUAGGAUUAGGUAGUUGGUGGGGUAAAGGCCUACCAAGCCGACGAUCCUUAGCUGGUCUGAGAGGAUGAUCAGCCACACUGGGACUGAGACACGGCCCAGACUCCUACGGGAGGCAGCAGUGGGGAAUAUUGGACAAUGGGGGGAACCCUGAUCCAGCAAUGCCGCGUGAGUGAUGAAGGCCUUAGGGUUGUAAAGCUCUUUUACCAGGGAUGAUAAUGACAGUACCUGGAGAAUAAGCUCCGGCUAACUCCGUG